CCUCUGACUCCUCACUGGGCCCAGGACACAAGACAUCAGGGCUCUGAUGUGUCCCCAGCAGCUGCCAGAGAAUACUUGAUGUUGACAGCUGUGAAUUUUAAACAACCAUUUUGGGAAUUCUGACUGCUAAACACAAAGUAGGAAUUACACGUGCUCACCAGCAGCCUCUGGAUGCCCAAGCAGCACAGAAGCACUCUCUAAAUGAAAAAGAUGGCUCAAGAUCACAUGCCAGAGUGGACAGAGGAAGGACCUGGGGGUGACUGUCACUCCCACUCAGUAGGAGACAGAAACUGACUGAGCCUAUCCGCAAGAAUCUGUAAAAUGGGACCACAGGAGACCCAAAAGUUUGAAGAUUAAGACGUCACCUAUUGUAUUUCCAGUUCUAUUUCAUUUGUCCAGUUCCAAUGACAAUGUUUGGAAACCAAACAUUCCUCUUGGGCAGCCUACAAAGGCAUGAAUAUAUCUUUAAACAUGAAAUGAAACAAGAAGUAUUCUCAGACUGGGGCUUGUAUUGAUAAGAUAGCAGACUGGAUGGAUGGUUCUCAAUUGUAUUUGUUUAUAUCUUCGCCUCUUUGAUAUACAACCAAAAAUACUCAAUAUGCAACCAAAAGCUCCAAAGGAGCCAAAGGGAACUUGCAAACAGGGCACCCCGAGCUCAUUCUACCUGCUGUCAGUGAGCUUUGAAGCCUCCUCAGAGCGUCCCGGCAGCAAAAGUGAGAGGGCGAAGGUGACCAAUGGAGCACGCAGUUCUGUACCGGUGACUGCAGCAGCGGGGAGAACAAAUUUCUCAUGCUUUGUUUUCAAGUAAAUUUUGCACUCAGAGAUUUUCACAGAGGAGAAUGAGGACAGAAGUUCAGGGUCAACUUUGAGAGCAGAUUUCCCAGGGCUAGAGCCUAAAGCAAGAGGAACGGGUGCCUGUUUAGGGCCCACUACUGAUGCCUGGUCCUGGGCCCACAGCAUGCUCGCUGGCAAAACAUUCAAGACCAUGAAAACGAAGGC